AUUGAACGCUGGCGGAAUGCUUUACACAUGCAAGUCGAGCGGCAGCGCGGCCUUCGGGCUGGCGGCGAGCGGCGAACGGGUGAGUAAUGCAUCGGAACAUGCCCAGUCGUGGGGGAUAACACUUCGAAAGAAGUGCUAAUACCGCAUACGUCCUGAGGGGGAAAGCGGGGGAUCGCAAGACCUCGCGCGAUUGGAGUGGCCGAUGUCAGAUUAGCUAGUUGGUGGGGUAAAGGCCUACCAAGGCGACGAUCUGUAGCUGGUCUGAGAGGAUGAUCAGCCACACUGGGACUGAGACACGGCCCAGACUCCUACGGGAGGCAGCAGUGGGGAAUUUUGGACAAUGGGGGCAACCCUGAUCCAGCCAUUCCGCGUGAGUGAAGAAGGCCUUCGGGUUGUAAAGCUCUUUCGGCAGGAACGAAACGGUGGGCUCUAACAUAGUCCGCUAAUGACGGUACCUGAAGAAGAAGCACCGGCUAACAACGUG
rnacentral:rRNA from 1 species